ncrna:unclassified sequences RAGATH-18 RNA
CCUUUGGAGAACUACAUAAACAAAAGUAAUAAUUAUAUAUUAUGAAAUUGGGUUCAUUGAAUAAGGAA